rnacentral:rRNA from 1 species
CCUACGGGAGGCAGCAGUGGGGAAUAUUGGGCAAUGGGCGCAAGCCUGACCCAGCAACGCCGCGUGAAGGAAGAAGGCUUUCGGGUUGUAAACUUCUUUUCUCAGGGACGAAGCAAGUGACGGUACCUGAGGAAUAAGCCACGGCUAACUACGGGCCAGCAGCCGCGGUAAUACGUAGGUGGCAAGCGUUAUCCGGAUUUACUGGGUGUAAAGGGCUUGUAGGCGGGACUGCAAGUCAGAUGUGAAAACCACGGGCUGAACCUGUGGACUGCAUUUGAACAUUUAGUUCUUGAGUACUGGAGAGGCAGACGGAAUUCCUAGUGUAGCGGUGAAAUGCGUAGAUAUUAGGAGGAACACCAGUGGCGAAGGCGGUCUGCUGGACAGCAACUGACGCUGAGGCGCGAAAGCGUGGGGAGCAAACAGGAUUAGAUACCCUGGUAGUC